rnacentral:rRNA from 1 species
GAACGCUAGCUACAGGCUUAACACAUGCAAGUCGAGGGGCAGCGGGAUUGAAGCUUGCUUCAAUUGCCGGCGACCGGCGCACGGGUGAGUAACGCGUAUCCAACCUUCCGUACACUCAAGGGGAUAGCCUUUCGAAAGAAAGAUUAAUACCUGAUGGUAUGAUGAGAUUGCAUGAUAGCAUCAUUAAAGAUUUAUCGGUGUACGAUGGGGAUGCGUUCCAUUAGGUAGUAGGCGGGGUAACGGCCCACCUAGCCAACGAUGGAUAGGGGUUCUGAGAGGAAGGUCCCCCACAUUGGAACUGAGACACGGUCCAAACUCCUACGGGAGGCAGCAGUGAGGAAUAUUGGUCAAUGGACGAGAGUCUGAACCAGCCAAGUAGCGUGCAGGAUGACGGCCCUAUGGGUUGUAAACUGCUUUUAUAAGGGAAUAAAGUGAGUCUCGUGAGACUUUUUGCAUGUACCUUAUGAAUAAGGACCGGCUAAUUCCGUG